CGCGUAGGCGGGUGGCCAAGUCUAUGGUGAAAUCCUCCAGCUUAACUGGAGAACUGCCGUGGAUACUGGUCAUCUCGAGGAAGGUAGGGGCAUCUGGAACUGGUGGUGGAGCGGUGAAAUGCGUUGAUAUCAUCAGGAACUCCGGUGGCGAAGGCGAGAUGCUGGACCUUUUCUGACGCUGAGGCGCGAAAGCCAGGGAGCAAACG
rnacentral:rRNA from 1 species